CCUUCAAAGCUUUAAAUUCCACUCCCAGAACCACUUAGGCCACAUUCAACAAGUUUUCAUAAUCCUCUCUAUGGGAUCAACUUCAAGAAGUGCCAUCUUGUUCAUCCUGGAAGGAGGCUUGGUUGAGGCCACACCCUUGCUGUUCUACCCCAUGUAACCCCUUGGCAUGCAGUGCAGUUCCUCUGACUCUCUGGAAACUGUUUAUUUUGCUUGGUCUGUCUGUGUUUCCUGGACUUGUGUGACUUUUUCCU